CGCGCUUAGCUCAGUUGGCUAGAGCACCUGACUGUAGAUCAGGGGGUCCCCGGUUCAAGUCCGGGAGCGCGGACCA
rnacentral:tRNA from 1 species